rnacentral:ncRNA from 2 species
UGCCAUAGCUAGGGGUGUCUGUCAUAGGAAUCAGACUGAGAUAGUCCCUUAGAACCUGAGACUGGGUAAUACCAGCGUAGGGAAGCUGUUAAUAGAGGAU